AUGCACCUCAGACAUCUCAUCCUCCCUGUCUUCCUGGGGCAACUGCUGGGUACCAUGGGGCAAGUCACUGUCACUCAGCAAGAAGCACAAGUCACGAUGAAACAGGGUAACACCUUCCAAAUAACCUGCACAUACCAGAGCUCCUACCCUCCAGGCUUGCUCUGGUACCAGCUGAAGAAAGGCCACAGAUCUCAUUUCAGGCAGUAGCUGGCUCCAAGCCGAGCGGCCGUUUCACCACGUUUCUGAACACCACGGGGAAAUACAGCCUCCUGCAGCUGCAGGAAGCCCAGCUCUCUGACAGCGCCUUGUACCUCUGUGCUGUGCAAGACACGCUG